GUGGGGAAUCUUCCGCAAUGGACGAAAGUCUGACGGAGCAACGCCGCGUGAGUGAAGAAGGUUUUCGGAUCGUAAAGCUCUUUCGUUAGGGACGAACGUGCUCUUUGUGAAUAAUGAGGAGUAAUGACGGUACCUAAAUAAGAAGCCACGGCUAACUACGUGCCAGCAGCCGCGGUAAUACGUAGGUGGCAAGCGUUGUCCGGAAUUAUUGGGCGUAAAGCGCGCGCAGGCGGGAUAUCAAGUCUGUCUUAAAAGUGCGAGGCUCAACCUCGUGAGGGGACAGAAACUGGUAUUCUUGAGUGUCGGAGAGGAAAGUGGAAGUCCAAGUGUAGCGGUGAAAUGCGUAGAGAUUUGGAAGAACACCAGUGGCGAAGGCGACUUUCUGGACGAUGUCUGACGCUGAGGCGCGAAAGCUAGGGGAGCGAACGGGAUUAGAUACCCGAGUAGUCC
rnacentral:rRNA from 1 species